AUGGCCUCUCAAAAAAAAAAGAGAGACUCAUUCUUGCUCUCAAAAUAAAGAAAGACUUGUCUCCAAUUUCCGGUUGGUCCAACCAAUAAAGACAUGGGAGUCUUUGGGCAUUGCUUGGGCCGACUUAAGUAAAGACUGGUUACCUAGUGAUUUACAACCACCCUCACUGCACACUGUCUAUAUCUGUCUACUAUUGAUUCAGGAAAAUAAAAUAGGAUACCAGAUAUUCCGACUACAUGAAAUAGAGCACCGGAUAAGCCCCCAAGACUAUCACUGGAGGUGUAAAAAUGAGGAAAUAUCGCAUCUAUGCUUUGCGGAUGAUCUCAUGGUGUUCAGCAAUGGAAACCACAAAGAAUCAGAUCACGAACAUGCUGGGUUACAAGGAAGGAAAACUUCCCGUAAGGGGUGGGACGGUACCUCUAUCUAUCUACGCAAUAUAGGAGUUCCAUUCCAAAACGUACAGCACGGCCUUCCACGCCACCCAAACACCUAUCGUCAGUCAACCUUCCCAUCAGCCAUUGCUCCACCAGCAGUAAGUUCUGCUCCUUUGAAUUCCGGGGCUACGGUUCAAUAA